rnacentral:misc_RNA from 1 species
GUAAACGCUUUCAAACCUAAAACCUAUACAACUCUUUGCCUGUUCCUCCGUUUCCGAUGACGGGUGCAUACCGCGUUACCUUCUCUUUCUACGCGCCACCCAAAGUCACCUCCGCAACCAUUCACAGAUUCCGACUAAGCCCACUCCUCUCAUCUUCUGUUUCUAUUCCAUUUCCAUCUAAACGCACAAACAGGAAAAACCACUUGCGCCCCAAAAUCCUCAAAACGUUAACUAAACCCUUCACNNNNNNNNGAUAGUUCCAGUAGAACACACAGUCCCCAUUCCCAUUCCGUUCCCACCUGAUUACGACCCCGUUU